UUAUCGCUGAGUCCCGUGAAAAACGGAAGCGGGGGAACCAAAUCGUGCCGUCUAUGCGGCACAUGGGGUGAAUCCUUUGGGGAAGUAAAGCACUUCCUUGCAGGUAGGGCGACUCUCACGCCCGAAUCCGUCAGCUAACCUCGUAAGCGUACCGAGAGAG
rnacentral:sRNA from 1 species